AAACUUAAAUGAAUUGACGGGGCCCGCACAAGCGGUGGAGUAUGUGGUUAAUUCGAUGCAACGCGAAAACCUUACCUGCCCUUGACAUCCUCGGAACUUGUCAGAGAUGACUUGGUGCCUUCGGGAACCGAGAGACAGGUGCUGCAUGGCUGUCGUCAGCUCGUGUCGUGAGAUGUUGGGUUAAGUCCCGUAACGAGCGCAACCCUUGUCAUUAGUUGCCAUCAUUUGGUUGGGCACUCUAAUGAGACUGCCGGUGACAAACCGGAGGAAGGUGGGGAUGACGUCAAGUCCUCAUGGCCCUUAUGGGUAGGGCUUCACACGUCAUACAAUGGUCGGUACAGAGGGUUGCCAACCCGCGAGGGGGAGCUAAUCCCACAAAGCCGAUCGUAGUCCGGAUCGCAGUCUGCAACUCGACUGCGUGAAGUCGGAAUCGCUAGUAAUCGUGGAUCAGCAUGUCACGGUGAAUACGUUCCCGGGUCUU
rnacentral:rRNA from 1 species